rnacentral:rRNA from 1 species
GACGUAGGUGGCGAGCGUUGUCCGGAAUUACUGGGCGUAAAGGGCGUGUAGGCGGCCAUUCAAGUCAGGCGUGAAAUCCCUGGGCUUAACCCUGGGACUGCGUUUGAAACUGGGUGGCUUGAGGACAGGAGAGGAAAGCGGAACUCCGUGUGUAGCGGUGAAAUGCGUAGAUAUACGGAAGAACACCAGUGGCGAAGGCGGCUUUCUGGACUGUCCCUGACGCUGAGGCGCGAAAGCCAGGGGAGCGAACGGG